AUAUCAGUAAGCGGAGGAAAAGAAAAUAACAAUGAUUACCUCAGUAGCGGCGAGUGAAGAGGUAUUAGCCCAAGAUGUUAAUCCGUAAUAAAGUUAUGGAAUUGUAAUCUAUAGAAUUUCUCAGAAGGAGAGGCUUGUCAUAAGUUCUUUGGAACAAGACACCACAGAGGGUGAAAGUCCCGUCUUUGGAUAAGCCGAACCGUAUGAGACGUUUCUAAGAGUCGGGUAGUUUGGGAAUGCUGCCCUAAGUGGGAGAUAAACUUCUCCUAAGGCUAAAUAUAAGAUAGGAGACCGAUAGCGCACAAGUA
rnacentral:rRNA from 1 species